rnacentral:lncRNA from 1 species
GCCACGUGGCACCAAUAUCAAUAUUUUUACAAAGUGCAGGGACCAAUACCAAUAUUUUUACAAAGUGCAGGGACCAAUACCAAUAGUUUUGUGUUUUUUUUUGUAACAGAAAGUUAAUAGAGAGACCAAUACCAAUAUUUUUACAAAGUGCAGGGACCAAUUUCAAACAAAAAAAAAGUGUAGGGACCAAUGCCAAAAUCUGAUAAAAGUGCAAGGACUAAAG